CCAAGAAGUCUUAGCAUUUAGGCUGCUUGUAGCCAAUCAUAUCUGAUCUUGGAUGCAAAGCAGGGGCAGAGCUGGUUAGUCCUUGGAUGGGAGACCACUUGGAAAUACCAGGUGCUUUUGGC
rnacentral:rRNA from 1 species